ACUGCGCAUGCGAGGGAUCUAGGUUGCAGGCUCCUUAUAAGAAUCUAAUGCCUGAUGAUCUGUCAUUGUCUCCCAUCACCUUUAGAUGGGACCAUCUAGUUGCGGGAAAACAAGCUCAGGGCUCCCACUGAUUCUACACUGUGAGAGAAGAGCUUCUGUGAGAUUCUCGAAAGUUUCCAGGAGCCACUGGUCCACCCAGGGAUGCAGGCAGAGCAGGUGACGUGACACCCCUUCAUCCGAGUGAGGAAACCAAAGCUCAGAGAGGCUACAUGACUUCUCCAAGACGCCACAACUGGUGAGCAAGGUGGCUGGGAUUGGAACUGUUAUCUUUUUUUUUUUUUGAGAUGGAGUUUUGCUCUUGUUGCCUAGACUGGAGUGCAGUGGUGCAAUCUCGGCUCGCUGCAACCUCUGCCUCCUGGGUUCAAGCGAUUUUCCUGCCUAAGACUCCCAAGUAGCUGGGAUUACAGGUGAGCCCAACCACACUGGGCUAAUUUUGUAUUUUUAGUAAAGACAGGGUUUCACCUUGUUGGCCAGGCUGGUCUCGAACUCUGGACCUCAGGUGAUCUGCCCUCCUUGGCCUCCCAAAGUGUUGGGAUUAUAGGUGUGACUCACCAGGCCCAGCCGUAGCUGGUGUCUUCUGAUGCCAGCUGGGGUCUUC
rnacentral:lncRNA from 13 species